AUUGGGGUGAAGACAGAAAAGCAACAAGAGGAGAAGUCACUUCAGAGCAGAAACAGAGAGAGAGAGUGAGACAGAAGGUUCGUUGGAGGAAGAAGAAGAAGAAGAGAUGUUUGUUCUCAUCUUGGCGACUCUGCUUUUCUCUGUGAGAGUCAGUGAUGCUGAGACAGACUCCUCACUCCCUCCCUCGUGUGUGUGUUCCACCUGGGUGAUUGUCAGCUCCUCCCUGAUUGUUUGCACCUGGUCCUCAUCACCCGGUGUAUUUAGUCUGUGUGUUCCUGUGUGGCGUUGCCAGUUCGUCUUUGUUUCUCAAUGUUCCUAGCGUUCCAGCAAUUCCUCCUGAUAGCCUUCCUGUUACCGAUCCCUGCCUGCUUAACGGUUUACGUCUCUGCCUUUUCCCUGCCGGAUACCCUGCCCUGUGUUCGACUGCCCUCCCGUGUACCGACCUUGGACUGGAACGAUUACGAACUCUGCCGCUGCCUGUCUCCUGUGGAAUUAUUGUACCCGUGUUUGGACUGCCGUGACGUGUACCAAUAUUCUACAGUAAAGCUGGUUAAUUGCACCUU